GGGCCGAUAGAUCAACGGUAGGCUCCCUCCGGGAGACCCGCUAGAGAUCGCCCGCUUUGCAAGCGGGAGGCUGUGGGUUCAAAACUCCCUCCCCUUGCGGGUGGGGGUGGAUAUCCCACUCGGUCCA
rnacentral:tRNA from 1 species